GGGUUGGAUUCCAUAACCAUAGGCCACCAUUUUUAGGGUUUUGAACCACAACUCACACGCCUUCUGUGCUUAUAUAUUCCAUAGAUCGAUUCCAUCAACAGCAGAAGCAGAUAACAAGGCAGAGUCAUGUACUAGCUGCCGGUGCUCGUUUUCCGAUCCGUUUUUAACGAUUCCGGUAAUGGCUCUAUUAUUCGAGUCAACAGCAGGCGUCGAUUUGUUGGCGACUUGACUGCCGCUUAGAGCCUAGAUUGUAUUCCGGUAGAAGAUCCAUGAAAACUUCUAUUCAUGUUUUCAUGACACAAUAUAUCGGAUACAUUUCUUCAUUAUCAUCGUAUGAUGCACAAGUCUCUGAUGCAGCUUGAAAGGCAUACUUAGACACGGGGGCUUUGUUGAAUUCCCAAAACAAGCCACCUUUUGCACGGUGCCAAUAAAUUGCUACUUAACACGAUUGAAGGAGGAUGUUUUACUCAUUUUCUUUCAAAUUACAAGUAGCCAUAUUCGAUCAUCAUUGAUUUCUAUCUCGUGCAUCCGAAUUUGAGUUCUUAUCUGGUUUUUUUUCUAUUUAAUUUGUGAAGCUUGUAAUUGAAUGUUGAGAUGCAGUGAUGAGAAAGCUAACAUGUAAGAAGAUACCUUCAACUUUGUGUUGAAAAUCUUCUAUGAAAUACUCUUGUUACGCUUGGCUUCUGAGCAU